rnacentral:rRNA from 1 species
UACAGAGGGUGCAAGCGUUGUUCGGAAUUAUUGGGCGUAAAGGGGAGGUAGGUGGUCUCAUUUGUCUGGGGUGAAAUCCUUGGGCUUAACUCAAGAAGUGCCCCAGAAACGGUGAGACUGGAGUCCUGGAGAGGGUCGUGGAAUUCCCGGUGUAGCGGUGAAAUGCGUAGAUAUCGGGAGGCACACCUGUGGCGAAAGCGGCUCACUGGACCACAACUGACGCUGAGGCGCGAAAGCUAGGGGAGCAAACAGG